AUGAUAUGGAUUCGGCUGGAACAUCCCAAGCGUCUCACUGCCGUAUUCAGAAAUCUGGCCGAAGUGUCCAUUUCUGGUAUCAUUCCUGAGUGUGAUCUGAGCAGGACCCUAUUUAUCCUCGAAGCUGCACCUGCCCUGCACAAAUUUACAUUAUCUCGAGAGCGGCAUGCAUGUGCCAUACCGUCCGAGGACAGUGCCGAGAAGACCAACGUGGAGUGGGAACCAUCCAAGGAUUUGAAGCACCUAAACUUGAAGUUGCUCCGGAUGUACGGUUUUGAGGAUGAAGACAAGGUGACAAACUACAUAAGGCUAGUCAUGGAGCGAGCUGUGAGGCUGAAGAGAAUCGAGUUGCGUGGUGAAGUCCCAUGCGAGAAAUGUGAUGCCAUUUACCCAAGGAGAUCCCAGGUGGAUAAAGGUCGCAGGCGUCGGAUCAAGGAGCGACUCACACAUGAAUCCUCCUCAGCUGUGGGGAUGAUAAUGCUCGUAGCAGCUAUGCCCGCGCAAUAG
rnacentral:rRNA from 1 species